rnacentral:lncRNA from 1 species
GAAGAAGACGUAGAGAAAAAAAAAGUUAAAAGAAUAACCCAAAGCUGAAAACAAAAAUAUGAAGAGAAAAAAAUGACAUAAAAAAAUGUUCAUAACUGUUCCAUGGACCAACCAUCCCAGCCAUCAGCUCAAAAAUGUACUAAUAACAAUAAAAAAUUGCAUUUUAAAGAGUGACGCUAAGCAAAGGACUAUUUUCAAGGCCAAAGGCGUCAAAAAUAGGAAGAGAGAAAAAAAUCCAUAUUUUUUUUUUCUUUUCUUUUGCGAUUUUCUCCAACUUGUGCACUGUCGUCUAUUGACUAUAACUAUUAGCGUUUUCCUUAAGUGUCAUAACUGUUCUUGCUUUUAAAAGGUUAUUAUGGAUCUUGGAUAAACGAGAGAUUGAGAGAACUCACCACUUAGAUUCCUUUCAGAUAUCCGAAAAUUUAGUGCACAAAAACUUUUACUAGAGAAUAUCCUGGCACCGUCGUUUAACUCAGCGAAUAUGUAUUUGAGUUGUUGAUCCACUUCUGGACCAAAGGCAAAAUUAUUAACGAACACAAUUGUAGACUCAAGGAUUUCGGAUCUGUACUGUUUAUCGAGGAAGUCUCCAUGGACAAUUUUGAAAUCAGAAUACUUUUUUCCAUAGAAACCCAUCCAAAAUCGAAACCAUUUUUCUAAGUCCUUCAAAAAAGAGAAGAUAAUAAUACCUGAGCGUAUUUAGCAGGAAUGUUGGACUUUUCAAUUCCAAGGCAGUGAGAGCAAUCACUAAGGGCAGCGACUUGUAAAACAACUUGACCAACCCCAGAGCCCAAGUCAACAAAUUUAUUUUCAGGGCCAAUAGGAUGGAGUUUGUCUAAUAUUUGGCAGAUUAAUUCAAAACUAGUUUCACCAUAUACCUAACAACAAAAUAAAUGUAUUGAAUAAGCUAAUAAAAAUCAAAAUUUACAAAUUCCACU